rnacentral:rRNA from 1 species
GAUGAACGCUAGCUACAGGCUUAACACAUGCAAGUCGAGGGGAAACGAUAGAGAAAGCUUGCUUUUUCUAGGCGUCGACCGGCGCACGGGUGAGUAACGCGUAUCCAACCUGCCCACCACUUGGGGAUAACCUUGCGAAAGUAAGACUAAUACCCAAUGACGUCCAUAGAAGACAUCUGAACUGGAUUAAAGAUUUAUCGGUGAUGGAUGGGGAUGCGUCUGAUUAGCUUGUUGGCGGGGUAACGGCCCACCAAGGCGCCGAUCAGUAGGGGUUCUGAGAGGAAGGGCCCCCACAUUGGAACUGAGACACGGACCAAACUCCUACGGGAGGCAGCAGUGAGGAAUAUUGGUCAAUGGGCGAGAGCCUGAACCAGCGAAGUAGCGUGCAGGAUGACGGCCCUAUGGGUUGUAAACUGCUUUUAUAAGGGAAUAAAGUGGGAGUCGUGACUCCUUUUGCAUGUACCAUAUGAAUAAGGACCGGCUAAUUCCGUGCCAGCAGCCGCCGUAACAC